rnacentral:rRNA from 1 species
UCAAGCAAUGGAGGGUCCGUGGAGGAUGCCUUGGAGCCACCAGGCGAUGAAGGACGCGGCAAGCUGCGAUAAGCCGCGGGGAGCUGCAGCGUAGCUGUGAUCCGCGGACGUCCGAAUCGGGUAACCGGCACGCCGGAGGGCGUGCGUCCCGCGGCCGAACACAUAGGCUGCGGGAAGCCAUACGCGGGGGAGUGAACCAUCUGAGUACCCGCAGGAAGAGAAAUCAAACGAGAUUCCGCCAGUAGCGGCGAGCGAACGCGGAGGAGCCCAAACCGGGCGGCUUCGGCCGGCCGGGGUUGCAGGGCCGGCGCGGGGUUUUCCCGCGGUCCGUGGGCGAGCGAGCGGAACGGUCUGGGAAGGCCGGCCGGAGCGGGUGAGAGCCCCGUACGCGAAGCGAUGCCCGGGGCCGUGGCGCCGGAGCCUGAGUACCGCGGGACACGAGGAAUCCCGCGGGAAGCUGGGGGGACCACCCUCCAAGGCUGAACACUCGGUGGCUACCGAUAGAGCAGAGUACCGUGAGGGAAAGGUGAAAAGCACCCCGGGAGGGGAGUGAAAGAGAACCUGAAACCACGGACCCGCAAGCGGUCGCGGCGGGGCUUUUGCCCCGUGGCGGCGUGCCUUUUGUAGAAUGAGCCUGCGAGUUGCCGUGCGUGGCGAGGCGAGGGGACGGGAGUCCCGGAGCCGGAGGGAAACCGAGUCCGAACAGGGCGCGAGUCGCGCGCGGCAGACCCGAAGCCAAGUGAUCUAGCCGCGGCCAGGCUGAGGCAGGGGUGAAACCCUGUGGAGGGCCGAACCUAAGUCCGCUGAAAAGGGCUGGGACGAGCUGCGGCUGGGAGUGAAAGGCUAAACAAACUUGGAGAUAGCUGGCACUCUCCGAAAUAGCUUUAGGGCUAGCGUCGUGCGGAAAGCGCGGGAGGUAGAGCACCGGAUAGGCGAGGGGCCGUCACUGGCUGCCGGGCUUAACCGAACUCCGAAUGCCCGCGCGUGGCGCACGGCAGCCAGACGGCGGCUGAUAAAGGCCGUCGUCGAGAGGGGAACAGCCCGGACCGCCGGCCAAGGUCCCGAAUGCGCGCCGAGUGGGAAAGGAGGUGCGGAUGCACAGACAGCCAGGAGGUUGGCUCAGAGGCAGCAACGCCUCCAAGGAGUGCGUAACAGCUCACUGGUCGAGUAUCCGCGCGCCGACAAUUCAGCGGGGCUAAGCGCGCAACCGAAGCCGCGGGCCUCCUCCCGUAGGGGAGGGGGCGGUAGGAGAGCAUGCCGCAUGCGGGCGAAGCGGGGGCGGGAGCCCCCGUGGACGAUGCGGCAGAGAGGAUGCAGGCAUGAGUAACGUGAAAGAGGGGUGGGAUCCCCCUCCGCCGGAAGCCUGAGGUUUCCAGGGUAAAGGCAAUCUGCCCGAGGGUCAGCCGGCCCCUAAGGCGAGGGUGAGGACCGUAGCCGACGGGAAGCGGGUCAACAUUCCCGCGCCGGCCGCGCUUACGAUGGUGGCGACACGCGAGGACUGUGCGCGCGGGCUGGCGGAAUAGCCCGCGGAAGGCGCGAGCCUGCGAGGGCCGGGGGAAAAUACGGCCCGAGGCGAGCGCGGAAGGAGCCCUCCCACGGGGGGGCGAAGGCGCACGGUUCAUGGCGGCGAGAAAGAGCCACUGGGAGCUACGCGGCCGACCGUACCAGAGACCGACACAGGUGGGCGAGCUGAGAAUGCGAAGGCGGCGGAAGAGUUCGCGUCAAGGAACUCGGCAAAAAGCAUGCGUAACUUCGGGAGAAGCAUGGCUCCCGCGAGGGAGCCGCAGAGAAACGGCCCAUGCGACUGUUUACCAAAAACACAGGUCCGCGCGAACCGGCGACGGGAGGUAUGCGGACUGACACCUGCCCGGUGCCGGAAGGUCAAGGGGAGCCGUCAGCGCGAGCGAAGCGGCGAGCCCAAGCCCCGGCAAACGGCGGCCGUAACUAUAACGGUCCUAAGGUAGCGAAAUUCCUUGUCGGGCAAGUUCCGACCCGCACGAAAGGUGUAACGAUAUGGGCGCUGUCUCGACGCGAAAUCCGGUGAAAUUGAAGUCCAGGUGAAGAUGCCUGGUACCCGUGGUUAGACGGAAAGACCCCGUGAACCUUUACUUCAGCCUGGCGCCGGCGUGCGCAAGGGCACGUGCAGGAUAGGCGGGAGGCGGAGAUCCGGGCCCCUCAGGGUCCGGGGAGCCGGCGGUGAGAUACCGCCCCUGCCCUUGCGCGCCCCUAACCCGCGGCGCGAACCGGCGCGGGGACUACGCCAGGCGGGAAGUUUGACUGGGGCGGUCGCCUCCCAAAAGGUAACGGAGGCGCGCGAAGGUCGCCUUAGGACGGUCGGGAAUCGUCCGGCAAGCGCAAAGGCACAAGGCGGCCUGACUGCGAGCCCGACACGGCGAGCAGGUGCGAAAGCAGGUCUUAGUGAUCUGGCGGUGGCGCGUGGAAGCGCCGUCACUUAACGGAUAAAAGGUACUCCGGGGAUAACAGGCUGAUCUUGCCCAAGAGUUCACAUCGACGGCAAGGUUUGGCACCUCGAUGUCGGCUCAUCGCAUCCUGGGGCUGGAGCAGGUCCCAAGGGUUUGGCUGUUCGCCAAUUAAAGCGGUACGCGAGCUGGGUUCAAAACGUCGUGAGACAGUUUGGUCCCUAUCUGCCAUGGGCGCUGGACGUCUGGGGGGUCCUGCCUCUAGUACGAGAGGACCGAGGUGGACGGACCUCUGGUGUACCGGUUGUCCCGCCAGGGGCAGCCGCCGGGUAGCCAUGUCCGGAAGGGAUAACCGCUGAGAGCAUCUAAGCGGGAAGCCCGCCCCGAGAUGAGACGUCCCCGAGGCCGUACGGCCUCCUGAAGGAACCGGCGAGACGAGCCGGUCGAUAGGCCGGGGGUGCAGGCGCGGCGACGCGCACAGCCCACCGGUACUAAUCAGCCGUGAGGCUUGGCCAC